rnacentral:rRNA from 1 species
UACGGGGGGGGCAAGCGUUGUUCGGAAUUACUGGGCGUAAAGGGCUCGUAGGCGGCCAACUAAGUCAGACGUGAAAUCCCUCGGCUUAACCGGGGAACUGCGUCUGAUACUGGAUGGCUUGAGAUUGGGAGAGGGAUGCGGAAUUCCAGGUGUAGCGGUGAAAUGCGUAGAUAUCCGGAGGAACACCGGUGGCGAAGGCGGCUUCCUGGACCGACACUGACGCUGAGGCGCGAAAGCUAGGGGAGCAAACGGG